GCCGGAAUAGCUCAGUUGGUAGAGCAGAGGACUGAAAANCCCCGUGUCAC
rnacentral:tRNA from 1 species